UUUGCUUUUUGGUCUUUUGGCUUAGAUCAAAGUGUGUAUCUAUUUUUAUCUGCUUAGUAUCUGAUACGAAGACCUGGUCUCCUCUUCAAUAUUAAUCUUCUUUCUGCUAUUGGGAUUAAUAUCCCGAUGCUUGAGUCGGCUUUGUCGUGGGACAUAUAUUUCUGUACCUCCAGGAGUAGCAUACCCCAC
rnacentral:snRNA from 1 species